AAAUAAGAAGUAAAAUUUUACAUUUAGUUUCGACCUAAAAAUUUGGUUUUAAACCCUUAUUUA
rnacentral:tRNA from 2 species